AUCUUGUGGUUUAAACCAAAGCUGCCUUUUGGAAACUCCCGCUGAUUCUCCAGCCUCAUGGAGGGUGGCAGGUUCCUCUUUUAAGUGUUCCAGGCUAGGAGUUGCGUGGUUAACGCUGGGGUAAUACACACUCUGUAUUUGCUACCACAGCCCCCCACCCCUAGAAGUCUCCCAAGAGGAAAUCGGUGGUGUGGUCAUGCACAGCUCCUGUGCUCCUGAUGGAGACUGUUGUGGAUCCAGGGCCAUCUAGACAUCUAGAACUGGGAUGACCAGGACAUUUGGGCGUGAAAGGGGCCCUACAAGCCUUAACAGAUACUAAAGAACGUCAGACAAGCAGAAUGAGGAUGGCCCCAGGCAAGGUGGACCCCACCCCAGCUGCAGGGAACAGCAAGGCUGCAGGUACCUGCUCAUUUCCAGCUCCCAGCCUCCCUCAGAACACAGACUGCCUUGCCAUUUUCUUAGCGAGCGGUUUGCAGCAAAGUGCUAUUUUGCUCUCGAACGCCUUCCUUUCCAAUUGGGACAAACGGCUAUGAAUACGGCACACCCUGUUUUGCAUUCAAACUGUUGGGAAAGUUUUGCGGCUGUAAAUAUCAUGCUCUUGGUGCUCAAGACAGAAUUAUUAUUACUUUUUCCUUAGUUCUUGGAACCAGUGAUAAAUUAAACAUUUCUUUUGCCCCCCC
ensembl:lncRNA novel transcript